CCUACGGGAGGCAGCAGUAGGGAAUAUUGCUCAAUGGGGGAAACCCUGAAGCAGCAACGCCGCGUGGAGGCUGAAGGUUUUAGGAUUGUAAACUCCUUUUGUUAGAGAAGAUUAUGACGGUAUCUAACGAAUAAGCACCGGCUAACUCCGUGCCAGCAGCCGCGGUAAUACGGAGUGUGCAAGCGUUACUCGGAAUCACGGGGCGUAAAGAUUGCGGAGGCGGGGUAAUAAGUCAGAUGUGAAAUCCUGUAGCUUAACUACAGAACUGCAUUUGAAACUGUUACUCUGGAGUGUGGGAGAGGUAAGUGGAAUUCUUUGUGUAGGGGUAAAAUGCGUAGAGAUCAAGAGGAAUACUCAAUGCGAAGGCGACCUGCUGGAACAUUACUGACGCUGAUGCACGAAAGCGUGGGGAGCAAACAGGAUUAGAUACCCUAGUAGUC
rnacentral:rRNA from 1 species